UACGUAGGGCGCAAGCGUUGUCCGGAAUUAUUGGGCGUAAAGAGCUCGUAGGCGGCCUGUUACGUCUGCUGUGAAAUCCCGGGGCUUAACCCCGGGCGUGCAGUGGAUACGGGCAGGCUGGAGGCAGGCAGGGGAGAACGGAAUUCCCGGUGUAGCGGUGAAAUGCGCAGAUAUCGGGAGGAACACCGGUGGCGAAGGCGGUUCUCUGGGCCUGUACUGACGGCUGAGGAGCGAAAGCGUGGGGAGCGAACAGG
rnacentral:rRNA from 1 species